CAAACACUCAAAAAGAAAAGUCCAAAACAACACAAAAUCCUAAACCUCCUACCGAAACCAAAAACCAUUUGGAUUUUUCUCUAAAUUCUCUGCGCACAAUCGUUUUCCUUGCGAAAUCUAAAUCUCCCACCAUCAAGCACUGCAUCGAACCCCCAAGCCAGCAGCAUGUACCAUGACAACAGCAGCAUCAACCAUAACCCUUUCUUGACGCAGCCGCAGCCGUCUACGCAGGUUUUGACUUCUCGCUGGACCCGUCUCGAGGAUAAACUCUUUGAGCAGGCCUUGGUGAUGUUACCGGAGGGAAUUCCUGAUCGGUGGCAAAAGAUUGCCGAAAGAGUUCCCGGUAAGUCAGCCAAGGAAGUAAAAGAGCAUUAUGAAAUGCUUUUGUACGAUGUUUAUGAAAUCGACGCUGGUCGAAUUGAGAUUCCGAGUUAUGCUGAUGAUUCUUCUCUGUUGUCGUCGAGUUGGGACUCGGACACUCAGAUCUCUUUCGAAGCUUCGAAACCAAAACAGCAUGGAGAAAAUGAAAGGAAGAAGGGAACUCCGUGGACAGAAGAAGAACACAAGUUAUUUUUAAUUGGCCUGCAUAAAUUUGGCAAGGGUGACUGGCGGAGCAUAUCAAGAAAUGUGGUGGUGACACGAACACCUACUCAGGUAGCUAGCCAUGCUCAAAAGUACUUCCUUCGGCAGAGUUCAGUGAAGAAGGAGAGGAAAAGAUCAAGCAUCCAUGACAUUACUACAGUUGAUAGCAACACGAUGGAUGCACCUGUCGACCAGAAUUGGAUUCCUGUGCUAGGUGGUCCUGUUCAACAGGUACCUGUACGGCACCAGUUGCCCCCUGGAAGCCAUUUACCUGCUCAAGGAGGGUCAUUAGGGUAUCAAAACUACAGCUAUCCGAUGUAAAGAUGGACCAGAGCUCUAAAUGCUGUAUAUAUUAUAGACCAAGUCCCUGCACUCAAGAAUGCAAUUUGUAAAGAUCCUUGAUGUUCAAUUUAGUUUAGGCCUGUAAAGUAAAGUUGAAACUAGGUUGUUCUUAAAAUCAUUGUAUUUGUUAUUACAAAACAUUUUAAGGAAAGGUUGCUGGAACAAAUGAGAUUUAUAGAGUGGGAGACAUUGAUUCUGCAGGUGGAAGUAAAUCUUCUAAUAGGGGAAACAACUUCUUUGUGGACAGAUAUUCAAUGACUCUGGCCAAAGCUUAAAUCCUGCUGUGGAUUUAAGAUAGGUUGAAGGAGCUUUUGUUCAAGGAAUUGGAUUCUCUGCGCUUGAAGAAUAUCCCACAAACUCAGAUGGACUAGUGAUUGCAAAAUGCGCGUGUACAUAUAAGAUCCCUGCACUACAGUGGAUACCAUACAAAACAAUUUAAUGUUGAAUCCUGAACAGUGUACAUCAUAAAAAAGUGUACUUUCUUCAAAAGGCAAGUUCAUAUUAAUUUUCUUGAAUCCAUGUCCUUUUUCUCUAUUCUUGAUUUAUUUUUUGAAUAGUGGACAUCAUAAAAAACCAUGUACUUUCUUCAAUGGCAAGUUCCUAUUAAUUUUCUUGAA